UACGAAGGGGGCUAGCGUUGCUCGGAAUGACUGGGCGUAAAGGGCGCGUAGGCGGAGUGCUUUGUCGGGCGUGAAAUUCCAGGGCUCAACCUUGGGGCUGCGUUCGAGACGGGCAUUCUAGAGUGGAGAAGAGGGUCGUGGAAUUCCCAGUGUAGAGGUGAAAUUCGUAGAUAUUGGGAAGAACACCGGUGGCGAAGGCGGCGACCUGGUCGUUU
rnacentral:rRNA from 1 species